rnacentral:rRNA from 1 species
AGGAAGGUAGUGUAGUUAACACCUGCACUAUUGUACGUUACCUACAGAAGAAGACACCGGCUAACUCCGUCGCCAGCAGCCGCGGUAAUACGGGAGGGUGCGAGCGUUAAGUACGGAAUUACGUGGGACGGUAAAGACGCAUGCAGGUGGUUUGGUUAAGUCAGAUGUAGAAAGGACCCGGGGCGUCAACCUACGGAAUAGACAUUUAGUAAACGUGGCAGACUAGAGUACUGUAGAGGGGGGUAGGAAUUUCAGGUGUAGCGGUGAAAUGCGUAGAGAUCUGAAGGAAUACCGGUGGCGAAGGCGGCCCCCUGGACAGAUACUGACACUCAGAUGCGAAAGCGUGGGGAGCAAACAGGAUUAGAUACCCUGGUAG